rnacentral:rRNA from 1 species
GACGAACGCUGGCGGCGUGCUUAACACAUGCAAGUCGAACGGAAAGGCACUGCUUGUGUGGGGUGCUCGAGUGGCGAACGGGUGAGUAACACGUGAGUAACCUGCCCUUGACUUUGGGAUAACUUCAGGAAACUGGGGCUAAUACCGGAUAGGAGCUCCUGCUGCAUGGUGGGGGUUGGAAAGUUUCGGCGGUUGGGGAUGGACUCGCGGCUUAUCAGCUUGUUGGUGGGGUAGUGGUUUACCAAGGCUUUGACGGGUAGCCGGCCUGAGAGGGUGACCGGCCACAUUGGGACUGAGAUACGGCCCAGACUCCUACGGGAGGCAGCAGUGGGGAAUAUUGCACAAUGGGCGGAAGCCUGAUGCAGCAACGCCGCGUGCGGGAUGACGGCCUUCGGGUUGUAAACCGCUUUCGCCUGUGACGAAGCGUGAGUGACGGUAAUGGGUAAAGAAGCACCGGCUAACUACGUG